UUCGUGCGCCAGAAAUCGUGGACGAAAAAUGCACAACUCCCAAAUUUGUAUCGAGGUUUAGAAAUAAACAAGAAUGGAAUUUGUGAGAUGCAUAUAAAAAUUCAAGGCAAACUUUUUUUUUUGGCUUGUAUAUAGGUUGAGACUAUCAAUAUCUGAAAGUAUUGCAAAUUGGUUCCAGAUGCAUAUUUAUCAAGUCAUUAAGUUUUCGAAUAUAGGACAACUGUUCCAGGAUUAUCACCUGCUUGCCAUCGAGCCAUUGUAAUGUUUCAAGAGUGAAGAGAAUAUAAGUAAAGAGGAG